UAUAAUGAAUUGAGGAUAGUCGUUGCCAGGUGGCUGGGUGGCGUUAGUGUUUGUGCACGCAUGCACAUUUUUUGGACUACUAAUAGUACUCGUCUUUCCUUCUAUUGUGGUUAGGAGCUCCUUGCGUAUGAGGAAAUAAAUUCCUCAAUUCCAGAGCUAUGCAGUAGAAUGCAAAUGAAAAUCAUAGACGAGCUUUUGCGAGAAAUUUAAUAUGCAAAAGCUAGCUGUUUGCAGAAGGCAAGACUUUUAAUAUAAAAAAAAGGGAGGAUUCCAAAAUGCCGUGGAAGGGAAGGGUUAAACAGCUGCGUUCUGUGUUUGUCUGAAGCAAUAUCCACAAUAGAUUGUGUCAGUAAAUCAUCAUCGUGCUCUGCUGUCUCGGAAUGUCAUUUAUUAGCCUCUGCAUAUUCUCUGCGUGCUCUCUGUACUCAGGAAGCUGAACCGAAAUCAAAGGGAAUACUUGAGGAUAUUAAUGCGGCACUGAACCUCUGGCCAAAUAUCAAGAAUUCGGACAGUUGCUCUUUGGAUGAAGAUGACAGCGUGUUGGCAGAAAUAUCACUGCCU